AGUUCACGCUGAAGCACCCACCAUUAAGCAUUAUCUUUAAACAUUUUCUGUUGGAAAUUAGAGUGUAUGGUGAAUUAUUUUGAUUAUUAUUUCAGAAUAAUUUUGGUGGGAAAUGGGUAGGUUGAGAAGUUUAGAUUGGUAGCAUUUGGUUUUUAACAUGGUAUUCAACACUACUACUACAAAUAAUUUCAGUGGCAUUGUAGCUUGUAGGCCUUUAAGUUUAUUACCAUGAAAUUGAAAGUAUGGUGUUGGUGUAAUCUUUUGAAGCCUUUUUCUCUUGUUGUCACAGUUCCUAGUUGACAUGGACAAACACUUGUCAUAUCUCAUCUAUGGGUAUUUAGAGGAAGUGCCUUGUAUUAACUCCAUCUUGUGAAGGCAAAGAAAGCUAGAAGAUACAUUCCAAAAGAAUUCAAAUAGGCUAGUAUUGGAAUGGAUAACUUGAACGCUUAAUGCACAAAGUGGAGCAGUUUUAGGUUGAUUAUGAUCUUUUACUAAGUAUUUAGGUUGAUGAUCAUCUCUAUUAGUGUAAUUUGAUAUAUUAUGAGCAGUUCUAACUUAUAUUAUUUCUGUAUUUUUCUUCAGUUUUUAGUUUUGGAUUUUGAACUCAAGAUUUAUUUUGUAUU